rnacentral:rRNA from 1 species
CGUAGGGCGCAAGCGUUAUCCGGAAUUAUUGGGCGUAAAGAGCUCGUAGGCGGUUUGUCGCGUCUGCCGUGAAAAGUCCCGGGGCUUAACUCCGGAUCUGCGGUGGGUACGGGCAGACUUGAGUGAUGUAGGGAGACUGGAAUCCUGGUGUAGCGGUGAAAUGCGCAGAUAUCAGGAGGAACACCGAUGGCGAAGGCAGGUCUCUGGGCAUUAACUGACGCUGAGGAGCGAAAGCAUGGGGAGGCGAACAGGAUU